CGGCAGGCGCAGCUCCUGCCACCUCGUGCCCAGGGAGCGAUGCAAUUUCUGUGCUCAUCAGUGCAAUGAGAGGAAACGGGGCUUGCUCAGGAACCACUGCAGCUUUGUUACCCGCUGGGGAGGGAGAAGGGAAACUUUCUAUGAUGCAAAUAGUGCCCAAAAUAACAGAGAUUAAUUUGCCCAUUCGUGCAUUGCAGGAUUUUCACGGUGAUGCUCAGAUACAGGAACGCAGCACCCACACUGGCGCAGAUUAAAGGGCUGACCAAGAUUUGAGGACUGAAGUAACAGCAGCCAGUGCCUCACAGCCCGGAGCCGUGGCACGUGAAGCGUCUCUUUAUCGGGAUGCAGGAGGCGCUUCCUCGGUCAUCUGCCAAGAGCGGAGCUGGCCACAUGUGCGGUGUUCUGCCAAGGCAAAGUGUUUUUGACUUGGUGGAGCCCCAUGACUAGGCGGAAUUUAUCAGUCCGGGCCCUUCACUGGGUGAAGAGCUGCCAAGAUCGAUGUUGUUUGUUUGUUUUGCUUGUUGUUGAUGAUGUUUUGAACUUUUGGGGAGGGGAAAAUCCCAACUGAGUCAUGCUCCCCGGGGCAGGAGCGUUGUAAGCUGGUGAGACCCAGCUCCUCUGUCAUCGCCAGGGCACUGGGGUUUGCAGAAGUGACAUUUCUUCUCCCAGUGCAAACCAGGGACAGUUUUGGCUUCUUUUACCCAGAGGAACAUCAUGCACUCCUUAAGAGCUUUAGGACGUCGACAGGAACAAACCAACUGAAAAUAAUACGACAGUCGCAGAAGCAGUCCCAUGGACUGACACUGGGGAAGCCCUACACAAACUUUCCUGCUGCAGCGUCCUGCAUCCAGACAGCAGAACACCUUCACUACUGCCAACAGAGAUCCAGUGCUGCAGAGCCCAAGGUUUUAUACACCUCUUCAUUGUCGCUUUUUUUUUUUUUUCCUAGUGAAAACCCUUGACCUGUAAAUAAAGGGCUGCUGCUUUUUCAUGA